AUUCUGGUGCAAUAGAUAUAGUACCGUAAGGGAACAAUGAAAGAACUAUAUCAAGCACCAAAAAGCAAAGACAAAUCCUUGCAUCUUUUGAAUAAUGAAUUAACUAGAAUAAACUUCACAAAGAGAGCUCUAGCCAAGUCCCCCGAAAUCAGAGGAGCUUCUCCAGAACAGCUAGAAGAGUACACUCAUUUAUGUGGCAAAAUAGUGAGAAGAUUCAUUAGUAGCAGUGACAAGCCUACGGAGGCUGGUGAUAGCUGAUUGUCCAAGGUAGAAUUUUAGUUCAACUUUAAACUUAACCUACAGAAUUACUUAAUCCUCCUCUAAGUUUAACUGUUAAAGGGGGACGGAUCUUCAGAUACUAGAAAAUAACCGUCCUAUAGAGAGUAAAAGAUUUUACCACCAUAAUUGGCCUAAAAGCAGCCACCAAUUAAGAAAGCGUUUAAGCUCAACAUCUGACUAACUUCAUUUCUAAUCACCCUGUUGAACUCCUAAUAUUACAUUGGACUAACCUAUUAUUCAGUAGAAGCAAUAAUGUUAGUGUAAGUAACAUUAAGACAUUAUCCAUUGCAUAAGCUUACAUCAGACCAGAAUAAUCCACUGACAGUUAACAACCUAAUAUUAACAAAUGAUUAAUAGACAUCUUAUUAUCUUUAUUUUAACCCAAUACAGUCAUGCUCUAAGGAAAGAUUACAAAAAGUAAAAGGAACUCGGCACAUUUCACCCCGUCUCUUUACCAAAAACAUCACUCCUAGCAUUGCUAGUAUUAGAGGCACUGCCUGCUCAGUGACAUAUGUUUAAGGGUUGCGGUAUCCUGAACUUGCAAAGGUAGCAUAAUCACUUGUUCCCUAAGUAGGGACUUGUAUGAAUGGCCACACCAGGGUUUAGCUGUCUCUUACUUUCAACCAGUGAAAUUGACCUACCUAUGAAGAGGCGGGUAUAAAUAAAUAAGAGGAGAAGAUCCUGUGGAGCUUGAAUUCAUUAAUGCAAAUAAAGAUUCAAACAAGCCAACAGGCCCCAAUGUAUCAUCCCUGCAUUAAAAAUUUUGGUUGGGGUGGCUGGGCACAGUGGCUCACACCUGUAAUCCCAGCACUUUGGGAGGCCGAGGUGGGUGGAUCACGAGGUCAGGAGAUCGAGACCAUCCUGGCUAACACAGUAAAACCCCGUCUCUACUAAAAAUACAAAAAAUUAGCCGGGUGUGGUGGCACAUGCCUGUAGUCCCAGCUACUCAAGAGGAUGAGGCAGGAGAAUGGCAUGAACCUGGGAAGCAGAGCUUGCAGUGAGCGGAGAUGGUGCCACUGCACUCCAGCCCGAGAGACAGAGUGAGACUCUGUCUUAAAAAAAAAAAAAAAUUUGGUUGGGGUGACCUUGGAGCGUAAUUCAACCUCCGAAACGACUUAAACUAAGACCGCACUAGUGUAAGUCAGUUAUUACACAUUGACCCAAUAAUUCUAUCAACAGGAUAAGUGACCCUAGGGAUAAGAGUGCAAUCCUAUUCUAGCGUCCAUAUCAACAACAGGCUUUACGACUUUGAUGUUGCAUCGGGACAUCCUAAAUGGUGUAGCCGCUUUUAAGGGAUCAUUUGUUCAAUGAUUAAAGUCCUUCGUGAUCUGAGUUCAGACCAGAGCAAUCCAGGUUGGUUUCCAUCUAUUUAGCAUUUCUCCCAGUAUGAAAGGAUAUGAGAAACCGGGCCCACUUCACCAAGUGCCCUUACAAGACUAGGAUUU
rfam:Gorilla gorilla gorilla genomic chromosome, chr10, whole genome shotgun sequence